CAUCCAAUCUGGUUCCAACAGUCUUCGAUACACCCACACCUCCAUGGCUGCAUCAAACCAUCAACCAUCAUCACGCAGUUUAUCAGUUGGCCUGAAAUAGAUGUUCGAUUUCUGCAUGGCCAGAACAUGGAAGCUGAUUAGAUAUUAGAGAGGAACACAAUCACAUGCAGCAGUACAGGAAGGAUUGGAUCGUACAUAGUAUCUCAUAGAUCGAUUCCAGUAGGGUGGAGUUAGCGCCUCCACUCCCACGCACUACUCUCGGGCAUGAUUUUUUUUCAAUAACCUGUUGGUA
rnacentral:lncRNA from 1 species